rnacentral:rRNA from 1 species
CGCCAGCAGCCGCGGUAAUACGUAGGGUGCAAGCGUUAUCCGGAAUUAUUGGGCGUAAAGCGCUCGUAGGUGGUUUUUUAAGUCUGAUAUUAAAGAUCUGGGCUCAACCCAGGGAACGUAUCGGAAACUGGAUGACUAGAGGUAUGCAGGGGCAGAUGGAACACAAGGUGUAGCAGUGAAAUGCGUAGAUAUCUUGUGGAACGCCAAUGGUGAAGACAGUCUGCUGGGCAUUACCUGACACUGAGGAGCGAAAGCGUGGGGAGCGAACGGGAUUAGAUACCCCGGUAGUCCACGCCGUAAACGAUGCACACUAGGAACUUGGAGAAUCGACCCUCUGGGUUUCGAAGCUAACGCGUUAAGUGUGCCGCCUGGGUAGUACGGCCGCAAGGCUAAAACUUAAAGGAAUUGGCGGGGGAC